rnacentral:rRNA from 1 species
CCUACGGGAGGCAGCAGUGAGGAAUAUUGGGCAAUGGGCGAAAGCCUGACCCAGCAACGCCGCGUGGAGGAUGAAUGUCGUAAGAUUGUAAACUCCUUUUAGAGGGGACGAAAAAACAGGUUGGAAGCCUGAAUUGACGGUACCCUCAGAAUAAGCCCCGGCUAACUACGUGCCAGCAGCCGCGGUAAU